GACGAACGCUGGCGGCGUGCUUAACACAUGCAAGUCGAACGGUAAGGCUCCAGCUUGCUGGGGUACACGAGUGGCGAACGGGUGAGUAACACGUGGGUGACCUGCCCUGCACUUCGGGAUAAGCCUGGGAAACUGGGUCUAAUACCGGAUAGGACCGCACCGUGAGGGUGUGGUGGAAAGUUUUUUCGGUGUGGGAUGGGCCCGCGGCCUAUCAGCUUGUUGGUGGGGUAAUGGCCUACCAAGGCGGCGACGGGUAGCCGGCCUGAGAGGGUGGACGGCCACAUUGGGACUGAGACACGGCCCAGACUCCUACGGGAGGCAGCAGUGGGGAAUAUUGCACAAUGGGCGGAAGCCUGAUGCAGCGACGCCGCGUGGGGGAUGACGGCCUUCGGGUUGUAAACUCCUUUCACCAUCGACGAAGGGUUUCUGACGGUAGAUGGAGAAGAAGCACCGGCUAACUACGUGCCAGCAGCCGCGGUAAUACGUAGGGUGCGAGCGUUGUCCGGAAUUACUGGGCGUAAAGAGCUCGUAGGUGGUUUGUCGCGUCGUCUGUGAAAUUCCGGGGCUUAACUCCGGGCGUGCAGGCGAUACGGGCAUAACUUGAGUACUGUAGGGGAGACUGGAAUUCCUGGUGUAGCGGUGAAAUGCGCAGAUAUCAGGAGGAACACCGGUGGCGAAGGCGGGUCUCUGGGCAGUAACUGACGCUGAGGAGCGAAAGCAUGGGGAGCGAACAGGAUUAGAUACCCUGGUAGUCCAUGCCGUAAACGGUGGGCGCUAGGUGUGGGUCUCCUUCCACGGGAUCCGUGCCGUAGCUAACGCAUUAAGCGCCCCGCCUGGGGAGUACGGCCGCAAGGCUAAAACUCAAAGGAAUUGACGGGGGCCCGCACAAGCGGCGGAGCAUGUGGAUUAAUUCGAUGCAACGCGAAGAACCUUACCUGGGCUUGACAUAUACAGGAUCGCGCCAGAGAUGGUGUUUCCCUUGUGGCUUGUAUACAGGUGGUGCAUGGUUGUCGUCAGCUCGUGUCGUGAGAUGUUGGGUUAAGUCCCGCAACGAGCGCAACCCUUGUCUUAUGUUGCCAGCACGUUGUGGUGGGGACUCGUAAGAAACUGCCGGGGUUAACUCGGAGGAAGGUGGGGAUGACGUCAAAUCAUCAUGCCCCUUAUGUCCAGGGCUUCACACAUGCUACAAUGGUCGGUACAGUGGGUUGCCAGUCCGUGAGGGCGAGCUAAUCCCGCAAAGCCGGUCUCAGUUCGGAUCGGGGUCUGCAACUCGACCCCGUGAAGUCGGAGUCGCUAGUAAUCGCAGAUCAGCAACGCUGCGGUGAAUACGUUCCCGGGCCU
rnacentral:rRNA from 1 species